CUGUACCUGGCCUCUUCUUAAGUCUUGAUGGUGUCCCUGGAUCUGGGCAGGAGUCAUUGCCUGUUGACCCUGCAGCCAGCAGUGACCUCUUCCUAUUUUGAGUCAUCUCUCUGCUCUUAGAUCUGGCUCUUCUGUGAGUGUCUGGGUCUCCAUGGACAGCAAGCUCCAUGAGGCAGGGUCCCUGGAAGAGGCACUGACCAUCCUUUUGGACACAGCUCGGAGCCAAUAAUAAGAGGCUGAGUGAAUAAGUGAAUGAGUAAUGACUGACAUUUUGCUUGUGCUAUGACAGGUGCAGUUUAGGAGUAGCUCCCUUCUGGGAGCUGGGUAGGGAUCUGGGUCCCUAGGUUUCUGGGCUUUGGGGAGGGUAAGACGUUUAAGGGGUUUAGUUUCUAAUAACCAGAAUCCAGGAUGGAGGCUUGGAGGAGGGCCAAGGGCUAGGUUUCUGGCAGCACAAGGUAAAAACUCUGUGUUUAUACAGAUGACUGGGAUAGAGAGUAUGGGGGACCUUGUGGGUGAGGAGGGCUUAGCAGAGUGAACAGGGCAGAAGCUUAGAGUCUUCAAGUGCUAUUGAGGCAGAAGGGGGCAGCUCAGGAUAACUCCAAAGGCUUCAGUGAACACAGGGUACUCACACAACUUUUGGGUCUGGAGACUGGAGGACUGUGUGUGUGUGUGUGUGUGUGUGUGUGUGUGUGUCUCAUAACAGCUCUGAACUUUGGAGAAAUGCAUGAAGGUUCUGGGCCUGGAACCCCAGGAGGUAUUUGUGGGGGUCUUUGGGAGAUGCUGUGAGAACUCAGAGGAGAGGGGAUGGUCCCACAAGGUGAGGAGGUGCCUUGGGGUGCCUGGAGUUCCAGUUAGGGCAGAUAGGGCCUCUGGGAGGGCAGAUGCCGGGACCUCUGGGAUGUUGGGGGAAGAGGCAUUCCUUCGAGCCCUAUCUUCCCAGCACUAAUUGGAGUGACUGGCCAGGGAAAGGCUGGGCUUGGGGCUUUUCCCCCUUCAGUUGGGAUAUAGGAGAAUUUCCUCCUUAGCAACUCUGCAACUACAGAAAGCAACUCACAGAACACAUGUGAAACCACGUAUACCCAACCGCUAAGGCCGGCAAAGAUAACUGGGGGAACCCACCCUGAGCUCACCUUGGCCUUCCCCUCAGCCAUUCACCUGCAAUGUGGAAGACCUAACACAAGAAAUGGAUGAACAGGCACCUGCCUUAUGGGGCAUGCGGCUGAACUCACUGGGGUGGGAGAGGGACCGCUGGUAAGGGCAAGCUCAGGGCCUGGUAGAGCUGGACCUCAGGGAGGGUCUGAGAAGUGGUUUUUUUCUCCCCUGAGAUAAAGAAGUGAGUGCUCAGAGCCCUGAUCUCAGUCCUGGAGGGGCUCACAGCUCCGUAAGGAAGACAUAUGGGAGGUUGGGAAUAAGGUGAGCCAGUAAAGGCAAUGAGAGCAGAUUUGUGAGUGUGUGUGUGUCAGAGCAAGUGUGCAUCUGUGUGUGUGUAUAAGUGUGCACCUUUGUGUGUAUAAGAGUGCAUUCCUCAGUGUGGAAUUACUAAGAGUAAGUGUAUGUCUCUGUGCAGCUCUGUGUGUGUGUAAGAGAAAGUGUGCACUCUCAUAUACUCUGUGUAGAGGAGUAUGUGUGUACUUUGCAGUGUGUGUCAGAGUCAGUGUACACCUACUCGCCUGCCCAUGUGCACGUGUGUGUAUCCUAGGUGGGAAUAAGGAAGCUGUGAAGGAAGAUUUAGUGCAGAGUACUUGUUUGUGUAUUUGAGGGUUUUUGUGAUGCACAAACGUGCAUAAAGUGUCUGUGAAUGUGUCUGGGGCACUUGGGGUGUGUGUGUGUGUGUGUGUGUGUGUGUAUGCAUAUAGGCCUCUGCUGCAUGCUCCAAGGGCAAUGUGAGUUGUGCUUCUUUGGUGUGAAGGGGGAGACCUGAGUAGGGAAGGAGUGUGAGUGUGUGUGUGUGUGCAUGCGUGUGUGUGUGAGAGAGAGAGCGUGCGUGAGCAUGCCGAGUGGCAGGAAUGACAAAUGAUUAAUCUAUAGAAAUCUAUAUUCUAUUCUUCCAUGCGUCCACUCCGCCCUUCUCACGCGCCCAUGCAUCACCUCCGGAAAUCUAUCACCCGACUCCCAGCCAAGGACAGGCUGCGAGGAGCGAGUGACUGCCUUAUUGAUGAACUUGCCUGGUACUUUUUACACAUUUGGAUACGUGGAGAAGGAAAGCUCACUCUGGCUGUGUCGUUCAUGCUCUUACUAUUCAUUCAUUCAUUCAGUAAUUCAUCCAGCAAAUAGUUCUGGAGCGCCUACUGUGUGCCAGGAAUGGUCCUGGGUGCUCAGGGCAUGAUGAUGAAUAAGGCAUUUCUGGCAUUAAGGGCCAGUGUGGGUCCCAGACAGCACAUAGGCCACUUUGGUAGAAUGUGCAGGGGGCUCUGGAAUAAUACAGGGGGUUUGGAAAUUAACCUUGGGGCAGGGGCGGUUCACAGAGGCUCCUGAGGGAGGUGACAUGUACGGGAGCUCUGAAGGGUGAUACAACCGAAGGGGAGGGAGAGGAGAGGGUGCACCAGGCAAAGAGAUUAGCAACUGCAAAGGCCCAGAAGCAAAGAGAACUUGCCUCUUGGGGAAAGCUUAGAGUGAGUCAGAUGGCUUGGAGUGUGAGGAAGAAGUAGUAAGAGAUGAUGCUACAGAGGUGGCUGGUGACUGAGGGAUGUUGAGUGCCCUGUGAAGGAAGCUGGAUUUCAUCCCAAGGGGAGCCAUUGAAGGGUCUAAGCAGGUGUCACAUGGUGUUGCAUUUUAGAAAGUGACCUCUGGCUGAUGGUGGGGAGGGUGGACAGGAGGCAGGGAGGCCAGUUGUUAGGAGGCUGUCGUGGCAGUUCCAGGGAGGGAUAGUGGUGGCUUGGAUUCCAGGGGUGGCAAUGGGAGUGGAGAGAUGUGGCAGAGCCCAGAGGUAUUUUGGAAGUGGGACUAAGGGCUUGGCGACGGAGGGGUGUUGGCAUGACAGAGUGGUAAGCAUGACCCUAGGUUUUGGGGCAAGUCACUCGACCUUGCUGAGCCUCCAUUUCCCCAUCUCUAAAAUGGGGAGAACAAUUCCUGCUUCUUAGGGUUGCUGUGAGGCCAUUUGGUUGACACUCAAUGGACCACCUUGGAACAGAAUGUCUACUCUUCCCCUCCCAUCACAUGCACCAACUCCAGGUCUGCUCUUCUCCAGAAAGGUUUGGGCUGAUCUACCUCCCAGUGACUGUUUCUUAAACCACACUCUGGGCAACCCCUGGACUGUGGUGCCAGUCCCAAAAGCCCGCUGCUUUGAACCCCUGAGGGAGACUUGGAGGUUGUCCAAGCCAGCUUCCUGUUCCAAGAUGGGCAACCAGGCACUCAAGAGAAGGAGAGGACCUUCUCAAGGUCACCCAGUGGGCCAUUUAAACUUGCUGGUGUUCAAGAAACCACAGGCCAUCCUCAGGCAGGCUGACCCCCUAAAGGUCAUCAUGUCCCACCUCCUGCCGUCAGACCCGAAGUAUCUCCAACCAGCAGGCGGCCUGCCUGUUCUUGGAGGUUGCUAGGGAGCUGAGCUUCCUUGGCCGAGGCAUGUGGUUCCUGGCUGCCCUCAGGGAAAGGGCACUGGCCAGAGUCCCAAAGAGGCUCCCAGAGUGGCUCAUUUUUCAGCUCGUCCUUGUGGGGUGCGAGGAGACGUCCAGACACGAGUGUUUACUUCAACUCCCAGGGCAGCCAGACAACUUCUGAUCUUGGAAGCCUCCUCACUUCAAUCUACUGCUUCUGUACAUUUGGAUAAUGUUCCAUUUUGCAAAACAACAAGUUCUCUGUAGACGCAGGCAGAGCUGACAGUUAUCACAGCAAAAGCAUUAUUUUGUUUCUCUUUCCUCCCCCUCCCUCGCUCCCUCCUGAGCGAGUGUGCAUGAUGGUAUUAGAAUACUGCAGUGCAAAGGCGUCUGUUCGUCUCUUCGGAGUGUGGCAUGAGAGGCGCUGCCACGUGGGGGGCCACGGGAGGGCGUCUUGGCCAGCAUUCCCGCCUGGGCCUUUGAUGCACUGCUGCAUUUGCGGAAGAAAUGACACUGGUGACAAAAGCGGACCCAGUUCUUCUUGGGAAGAGCUGAAAAGUGCCAAGGAGAAGGCCCUGAACACUUAGAAUAUUUUCAAAUUAAGUGACAGCGGGCACAACACGAUGGGGGAGACGGCUUGCGUUUCUUUGGAGCAUUCAGUCACAAUUCAUCAUUAUCCAAUUUUUUUUCCCCUUGGGUUUUCUCUCUCACACAUUUUUUAUCCCAAUCUGACAGCUAAAUGAGGAAUCACACUGCCUACGUUAUGCGUUUUGUUCAGGAAUUAACCCGUCGUCAAACACGCGCUGCCAAGUGGUUGGUGUGAGUGGAGAGUGACUGCACCGGCCCCAGAUGGCCCGUGUCACACGGGGCCCAUCCAGCUGGCCAUCCUGAGGAUGUGCUUGGAAAAGGUGGCCAGCAGGAGACACACCAGCUUCUUGAGAGCUCCAACGUGGAGCUCUGCGUGUCCCCGAGCUCUGGUCACAGACUUCUUGGCCAGAAGAACUCUCCGGGUGCCUUGGCCUGAUCCUUUGUCAAGUUCAUGGUGUCAUCACAUGUGAGGUCAUUCUGCCCCUCCAUCUGCCUCUGGCAGCCUUGAGAAGAGAGGCAUCAACCCCUGACCUCUAUGAAGGGGUUAAUUCAGCUAAGCUGAUAGCUCUCCUUUUGGGAAAUCCUUGAAAUACUUGACUCUUACCUACUGCAGUGGGUCUACUUGCUUUACCUUCUCAGCACGUUUCUGGGUACCAACUCAAACUUCAGCUCAGAGCAAGGCGGAAGUGAGGGAUCUUUGGGGGUGCGUUUGGUCUUUCAAAAAUGGACAAGUUUCUUCCCUUCUCCCUUGUUCUUUCCUUCUCCCCUGAUUUCUUUUCUUCCCAACUUCACCUUCUUUCCUUCCCUCCUUUCCUUUCCCCCUCCUGUCCUUUCUCCUCUCCUCCUUCUUUCCUCCUCCCUAGUUUUUCUUUCUACGCCAGUGAUGAAUAAGAUCCUGCGGUGGAUAAGGCAGACCCGGUCUUUGCAAUCAGAUAGUUGCCAGGGGGGUGAGUUCUCAGAAGGUGAGGCAUAGGGCACUCCCUGACUGUGUGUUGGGGAGCCCCUGCUGAAGACAGCUGCAGGAAGCUAGGUGAUGAGCAGGCAAGGCUUGGAGAUGUGGGGAAACCCAGGCAGGGGCACGCUCUCCAGGACCUCGGCUCUGCUAGCAGGCACACCUCACCCAUAGACUGUUAGUUGAGUGAGAGACGAACCAUACCUGGCUUUGUUCAUCCACGUAGCCCAGCUCCUAGUGCAGACCAGGUGGAGAUGCUCAGUAGGCACACUACGCUUGAGGUCAAUGAAGAGACAGGAGAGUGGUGGUGGCCAUGAGCUGUGGUACUGGCCACACCCAACAUCCCCAGGUUCCUUGGUGGCUGGCAAUUUCCAGCCAAUAACUGGUGAUCCCAAACUCUCGUUGCCUAUAGAUGUCACCUUGAAUGACCUCCAGCUUGUGUUGAGGAGGGGAAGAUUAUUUUAUGCUGGAGAGAGGGCAGUCCAAACAGCUAAAAGCACAGGUCCUGAGCCAUGUGGUGUGGCUCAAGUCCAGGUUCUGCUACUUCCUGUUUGUGAGGCUUUGGCAAGACCUGUAAUCCCACUGAGCCUCAGUUUUCUCCUCUGUAAAAUGCAGAUGAUGAGAAGAGGCUCUGUCUCUCAGGGAUGAGACGAGGAUUAAAUGAGAUGAUGUGUGGUUGGUUUGACACACGCCUACCGUUUUACACCUAUUUUAACAGGGGUGCUGAGAAAUUUUCCCCAGCCUCCUCUCUCUCGCUCUGGGCCCCAGGGUGUUCUUGCCCUUGUCCUUCUCUGGCCAGCACAAUGAUCUACCUGUCCACGUGUUCUCUCCUUCCUUCCAGCUUGGCUAGGUGGGGAUGCUGGCGAAGAAGCAGAUGGCAGCCGAGACUGAGUGUGACGGUGAUGACACUGUGAAAGGGUGAUAAUUUAUUCUGUUCAGCCUUGACUCGGAGUUGGAAGGAGAAAUCUAUUACUUCUGAAAGGCAAGGCUGAGGGCGACCUCCCUUUCUGACCUCUAACAGGUAGCGGGCCCUGGGUCUCCUGGCUCCUGGAGAACAGGCCUGGAAGGCCCCCCAGGGGCCCAUCCCUGAGCAGGGACUUACAGCAGGGAUUGGGAAGUGAGGAGCAGGCUGCAGGUUCAGCCCCAGAGAGAGGCGGCUGGGAGGCAGCAGGGCUCUGGCCCCAUUCGGCAGGGAUGCCAGGUGCAGGAGCAGUACUCUCAGUGUCUCUCUGCCUUGGCCCAGGCACUGGGUUGGGCCCGGCCUGCACGUGGGUCUUUUUCUCUUUCAUCCACUCAUCUUUCUUGUGAGUGGCGGAUGUCUUCCAAGCAGUGGGGAGAAAGAUGUAAAACUAAUCCCCACUCUAAUAAAAACAGUCUCCCGAUUAAAUAUGUAUGAACACAUAUUGAUUUGGGGAUUAAACAGAAAAGAAAAUUGAGCCUGUAAUUGAGCCAGGGAACAUGUAUGGGGUGAGACUUGGGAUGUGCUUCUCCAAACACACCUGCUGGGGCUGGGCUGGGGUUGCCCGGGCGUAGGAAAGGUGCUGGGAAGCCUCCAGCACCCACUGGGUGCUCCUCUGCAUGAGGGGCCUGGCCAGCCACUGCCUGCUUUUGGAGGAGCCUCUGCCCUUACUUUUCCUAAUUUGGGGAAAUUCCCAACAUUCCAAAGGAAUCUGGAGGAAUGGGAGGGCUGUACUAUUCCCACAGAUAUCUGAGUUUGAAUCUUUAGCUGGUGGGCAGCCGAAGGGGCAGGCUUCCAUCCUGUCUUAAGGAAACAUGGAUUGUUGCUCACCUGCUACAUGCGGGUCCUGAUGAAAUGGAAGAAGCUGAGCCAGGAUUCCGCCUACAAUAUUUGGACUCUAAAUCUAAGGUUGUGUUUACUAUAGGCCAGGGCUGGGCGGUCCAGUGACAUCAGAACCUGCAGUCAUAGGAUUGUGCAUCCUCCAAGCUGCAAGGGCUUUGGCCUUGAAUUCAGCGUGUUGCCUGAAAUGUGUCACCUUCCUUCACUAACAAAAGGAAGCUGGGAGGUGUAGGAUGGAACCAAAGCCUAUCUUCCUACCAUGCCUAUCUGUAGGCUCCACACCUGUCCUUGGUCAGAAAAAGAAAGGAAGGGGAGAAUAGAUUGUUGAGCGCCUGCUGUGCAUAAGGCCCUGUGCUUGGUAGUCUCAGGUAGACUACGACCUUUUAGCAUUCUGAGAAUAGUGUGACAUAGAUCUGAUUAUUUUCACUUUAUAGUGUAGGAAGUAGACUCAGAGAUAUUUGCUAAUCAUCAUAGUCCCCAUCACGAUAACGAUGGAAAUCAUUUAUUGAGCACCUGCUGUAUGUCAGGCACUUUACACCCAUUAUUGCCAAUCCCCACCAUGACCCUGUAAAGUAGAUCUAUUACCUCCAUGGUACAGAGAGGAAACCAAGGCUCAGAGCGCAAGAGAUGUGGCCAUUUCAGUGCACAGCCCAGUCACAGCUUGCCUGACCCUGGCCACUUCUUGCAUGGUCCUGGAGGAGUGUGGUUAACUCCCCAGUUUGCCCCUGCCCCAGCCCUGUGUGGUCCAGCCAGAGUGCCUCUCUCUCCCCAAGCUGAGCUCCUGCCUCACAGAUCUCUGCAUGCUUCUCCCCCAGGAAUGUGCAGGCGCCCAUUCAUCAUUUCCCAGCCCACACCCUCUCCCCCUGUUCUUCCCUGAUGCUCCCUAGUCCCUGCCAUGAUGUUUGCUGGAAUCUGACUUUUCCCGCAGGCCCACUUAUCCUCAACGUACACCAAACUUUACAAUUGCCAGAGCAUUUGCACAUUUGUUAUCUCAUUCAAGGUUCACAAUAACCUCAUAUCCUGUAUGACAGAUGAAGAAUUUGAGGCACAGAAAAGUCAGGCAAUUUACCUCAACUCACUGAGCUAAUGAGUAACAAUGGCAGGUCUGUCUUCCCAGGUGAGAUGGCACUUGUCCCCAGAACAGGUGCCUUUGCAGGACCCACGAAGACACAAUGACCCUACGCGAUGAGCUUCUCUUGAACACUUCUCUGGGUCUGGAGCCAGAACCCAUACCAGGAUACCUUUUAGAAGUGCCCCCAGGACUCAAGGUUUGCCCACAUGGCUAAUUGUCAGAGAAACACCUGGCAAGCCUGCUGUAUAUCUCCUUUGGUGUGGCCCUGGGAGAAAAGGAGAAAGGCAUCAGAUAUGAACUGGAGAAAUUGGAGUGCCUGGUAUCCCACGGCAGUGCCCAGCUCAUCAAGACCCAUGGGGAGUGCUGAGAGCUCACACACUCCCAGCUGCAGCCGUUUCUGCCCUGUGGUUAUUAAAGCAAUGACUUAAUUUUAA